UACAGAGGGUGCGAGCGUUAAUCGGAAUUACUGGGCGUAAAGCGUGCGUAGACGGUUACGUAAGUCGGGUGUGAAAAGCCCCCGGGCUCAACCUGGGAAUUGCAUUCGAGACUGUGUAGCUAGGGUGCGGAAGAGGGAAGCGGGAAUUUCCGGUGUAGCGGUGAAAUGCGUAGAUAAUCGGAAGGAACAUCAGUGGCGAAAAGCGGGCUUCCU
rnacentral:rRNA from 1 species